GACGAACGCUGGCGGCGUGCUUAACACAUGCAAGUCGAACGGAAAGGCCCUGCUUUUGUGGGGUGCUCGAGUGGCGAACGGGUGGGUAACACGUGAGUAACCUGCCCUUGACUUUGGGAUAACUUCAGGAAACUGGGGCUAAUACCGGAUAGGAGCUCCUGCUGCAUGGUGGGGGUUGGAAAGUUUCGGCGGUUGGGGAUGGACUCGUGGCUUAUCAGCUUGUUGGUGGGGUAGUGGCUUACCAAGGCUUUGACGGGUAGCCGGCCUGAGAGGGUGACCGGCCACAUUGGGACUGAGAUACGGCCCAGACUCCUACGGGAGGCAGCAGUGGGGAAUAUUGCACAAUGGGCGGAAGCCUGAUGCAGCAACGCCGCGUGCGGGAUGACGGCCUUCGGGUUGUAAACCGCUUUCGCCUGUGACGAAGCGUGAGUGACGGUAAUGGGUAAAGAAGCACCGGCUAACUACGUGCCAGCAGCCGCGGUGAUACGUAGGGUGCGAGCGUUGUCCGGAUUUAUUGGGCGUAAAGGGCUCGUAGGUGGUUGAUCGCGUCGGAAGUGUAAUCUUGGGGCUUAACCCUGAGCGUGCUUUCGAUACGGGUUGACUUGAGGAAGGUAGGGGAGAAUGGAAUUCCUGGUGGAGCGGUGGAAUGCGCAGAUAUCAGGAGGAACACCAGUGGCGAAGGCGGUUCUCUGGGCCUUUCCUGACGCUGAGGAGCGAAAGCGUGGGGAGCGAACAGGCUUAGAUACCCUGGUAGUCCACGCUGUAAACGGUGGGUACUAGGUGUGGGGUCCAUUCCACGGGUUCCGUGCCGUAGCUAACGCUUUAAGUACCCCGCCUGGGGAGUACGGCCGCAAGGCUAAAACUCAAAGGAAUUGACGGGGCCCCGCACAAGCGGCGGAGCAUGCGGAUUAAUUCGAUGCAACGCGUAGAACCUUACCUGGGUUUGACAUGGAUCGGGAGUGCUCAGAGAUGGGUGUGCCUCUUUUGGGGUCGGUUCACAGGUGGUGCAUGCCUGUCGUCAGCUCGUGUCGUGAGAUGUUGGGUUAAGUCCCGCAACGAGCGCAACCCUUGUUCACUGUUGCCAGCACGUUAUGGUGGGGACUCAGUGGAGACCGCCGGGGCCAACUCGGAGGAAGGUGGGGAUGACGUCAAGUCCUCAUGCCCCUUAUGUCCAGGGCUUCACGCAUGCUACAAUGGCUGGUACAGAGAGUGGCGAGCCUGUGAGGGUGAGCGAAUCUCGGAAAGCCGGUCUCAGUUCGGAUUGGGGUCUGCAACUCGACCUCAUGAAGUCGGAGUCGCUAGUAAUCGCAGAUCAGCAACGCUGCGGUGAAUACGUUCCCGGGGCU
rnacentral:rRNA from 1 species